rnacentral:sRNA from 1 species
AAUCAGCGUCUCGAUAAAUCAAGCUUUGUACUCUAAAUAAUGAUUCACCAUCAAAAUCA